rnacentral:rRNA from 1 species
AUUGAACGCUGGCGGCAGGCCUAACACAUGCAAGUCGAACGAGUGGCGGACGGGUGAGUAAUGUCUGGGAAACUGCCCGAUGGAGGGGGAUAACUACUGGAAACGGUAGCUAAUACCGCAUACCAUCGGAUGUUCCCAGAUGGGAUUAGCUAGUAGGUGGGGUAACGGCUCACCUAGGCGACGAUCCCUAGCUGGUCUGAGAGGCUGACCAGCAACACUGGAACUGGAAAACGGUCAGGACGCCUACGGGAGGGAGCAGUGGGGAAUAUUGGACAAUGGGCGCAAGCCUGAUGCAGCCAUGCAGCGUGUAUGAAGAAGGCCUUCGGGUUGUAAAGUACUUUCAGCGGGGAGGCGUUACUCGCAGAAGAAGCACCGGCUAACUCCGUGCCAGCAGCCGCGGUAAUUC